ACGUAGGGUGCGAGCGUUAAUCGGAAUUACUGGGCGUAAAGCGUGCGCAGGCGGUUCGUUGUGUCGGUGGUGAAAGCCCCGGGCUUAACCUGGGAACUGCAGUGGAAACUGGCGGACUAGAGUGUGAUAGAGGAUGGUGGAAUUCCCGGUGUAGCGGUGAAAUGCGUAGAGAUCGGGAGGAACACCAGUGGCGAAGGCGGCCAUCUGGAUCAACACUGACGCUGAGGCACGAAAGCGUGGGGAGCAAACAGGA
rnacentral:rRNA from 1 species